AUAAAUGUCAAUAGACCAAUAGGAACAUCGAGAGGGUAGAACGCUGUGUGACCAAGUAUUAUGGUCUAGCAUUUCUUAAUAACUUAUAAGUCCAACGAAGAUUUUAAACUGUUCAAAAAAUCUUAAUUAUGUUUUAUCUGUUUAAGAAAACCCAACGAACUUAACAUUUUGUCUAGCUUAUAUUUUUGUUCAAUUAUUAUUAUUACUAAGCAAGAGUCACAAAUAACCGCUCCCUCAUUUUGAGCCCUUGGAUCUCUUCAACUUUUGAUAAAGCCGCAUAAAAUCCAUAUUUACAGUUUUUUUACAGUUUCUUUGCUUCCUCCGCUUCUUCUUCCCCACGUUUGGCUAACCCCCUUCUUCUUCAACUGCUCACCUUCCGUUUUAUUGGCGAUCCAUGGCAGUUCGUCGUCACCCCACGAUCUCAACUAUCGCUGGUUGUCUCCUUCAACAAGCAUUCAAUCGGUUAAUCAGUCUCCUUCAAAGAGUGAUUCGGUUAUGACUUCAACCUCCUCCCAUUACGUCUUUAAUCCCCACUUCUCCAUAAUCCCUAAACAUCAUGUAGUUGUGGUAACUGCUCUGCCUAUAUAAGAGGUCGCUACUUUGAAUUCGCUAUUCCAUGAUUAGGGCUUAGGUCUUUUAGGCCGAAUUCGUAUCAAAGCAUGAGAGGGUUUCCAAGCGGAAUUGUGGCUAUGGUUGAUCAGCGGCAAUUUCCCUCUGUAAUUUGCCUAUGUAUAUAAAUGUUUCGAAUGAUGAUCCAAGUAUUUUCUUUGGUUUCAAUUUUGUAAUAAUGUAUUAUAUUGUCAAAGGAAACACACUUUCUUCUUUAGUUUC